rnacentral:misc_RNA from 1 species
CAUUACUUGUAUUCUUUCUUCUAAUACCUCCCUUGUAACACUUGGAUUACCAAUUAUGAGUCCCCCUCAAGAAUGAUAUCUUGAAAACCUCUUUGUUUUGCAAGAAGGAUCACUUCCUUACAAGCAAGGGCCUCUAAAAUCAAAGGAUCAACUAUCCCUUCAAUACGUUUGCAUGUCCAACCACAUGGCAAACCUUAAGAAUCUCUUGCUAUAGCAGUAACAAAACCAAAAUUGUGGGCAAUGUCUAAAGCACCAUUAAAUUUGACCUUAAAGGUUCCUUAAGGUGGUAGAGACCAAUCAAUCUGGAGUUGAUGGGUUCUUGUUUGUGGUGUGGGAGUUGGCUCUCCUAAGGAAAAGAAAUCACAAUGGUUGGAAGAUGCUAACCAAAUAAUGUCGUGAUAACUCUGUAAUUCACCCAUGAAAAAGAAAUUGUUUCCACUUUUCCAUAUAAACCACAAAUGGAAAACCAUCAGUUCAAUAAGAUUGUUCUCAUUAGUUAACGCCUGCAAGGAAGAAACAAUCUCCAACCAAAUAUCUACUAUUGUAUCUCCAUGAAGGGAAGCAAAACAAAGCAUCUCUUUAAGGAACUAACCUAGACCAUUUGAAAAAGAGGUGAGAGGCUAUUUCUAAGCAACUGCAGAAUGGGCACUCAGAUGGAAGAGCAGGCAAUCUUCUAUGAAUUUGGUAAUUUAUUGGUAGCUUCUCUUUAAGGAACUUCCAUAGAAAAACAGAUAGUUUAGGUGGUAGAUGAAGUUUCCAUAGGUGCCUCCAUAUAUCUUUUUACCACCAUGAGAUUCCAUCCUGCAAUCUUGCAUCUAAUUUUUGCUUUGAGUGAUUGAAGAGUCUAAGAUUUAGACUUAAAGAUAAAGGCUGGCAAGCCUAAGAACAUGUCUUGCCCCUCCACAUUAUGGACCUGAAGAAUUGAAGAGAUGGAUUGUCUAAUAUCUCUUAAUGUGUUGGCACUAAAAAAGAGAAAUGACUUAUCAAAAUUAACAUUUUGUCCACUCACCGUAGAGUACAUAUGAAGGAUAUCUUGGAUCUUUUGAGCUUCUACAGUGGAUGCCUUAGAAAAAUUUAUUGAAUCAUCAACAAACAAUAGAUGCUUAACUACAAAACUUUGGCGAGAGAUGAAAAUUUCAUGAAAAUCUGAAUUCUUUAGCUUAUAAGAUAAACCUCUCUGCACAGAAAAGAUAUAAGUAUAGAGAUAGGGGAUCUCCUUGUCUCAGGCCCCUAGUUAGCUUGAUAUAACCCAUCCAAUGCCCAUUGAUCCGUGGAGAGUAAGAGACGGAGAUAACACAAUCCAUUAUCCAUUUAAUCCACACCUUAUGAAAAUCAAAACAGAUCAACAUAUGUUUCAAAUAGUCUCACCCACACACUCAUAUGCUUUGCUAACAUCUAGCUUAAAAGCAAAACCAUAAUUCUUUCCCUUCCUUCUAGUUUUAAGGUAAUGCAUAAUCUCAUGGCUAAUUAAAAUAUUAUCAGAGAUAAGUCUUCCUUUGGUAAAAGUACUCUACUCAUCACUAAUAAUAGAACUCAUAUAAGGUUGGAGCCUAUAACUGAGGAUCUUAGCAAUAAAUUUUGUAAAAAACAUUACACAGGUCUAAGAUCCUUUAUUAUGCAUACUUGUUUGACUUUUGGUACGAGGGAAAUGACUGUAUGAUUGAAAAUUCUUAAGAGCCCUCCAUUUAAAAAACUAAAAAUGGCCUCACAGACUUCAUUGCCAAUAACAUCCCAGUAUGCUUGAAAGAAAUGACCUGUCAACACCAGGACAGAUCGAUACAAAACUUAGGCUCCUGCACAUCUUCAGCUAACAUCUCUGACUCAUAUUUCUUGGUCACCUGUAGCUUUUUGGAAUGGGAAGAAGAGAUGGCACCAGCACAGAAGGAGGCAAGAGAGGAAGAUGGCAGAAUUGCUGCAGUUGAAAAAGCAAGAUUUGGAUUGUUGGGGCGAACAAGAGCCGACAACAAAAGUAAAAGAGAAGCCAUAUAAGAGAAAUGCAAGAUUGAUCAAUUUUUGAAGGAAAUGCAAUGGUGAAGAGGUUUUUAAUAGUGUAAUUUACAUAGGGACUGUCGA